GAUGAACGCUGGCGGCGUGCCUAAUACAUGCAAGUCGAGCGAACAGACGAGGAGCUUGCUCCUCUGACGUUAGCGGCGGACGGGUGAGUAACACGUGGAUAACCUACCUAUAAGACUGGGAUAACUUCGGGAAACCGGAGCUAAUACCGGAUAAUAUAUUGAACCGCAUGGUUCAAUAGUGAAAGACGGUUUUGCUGUCACUUAUAGAUGGAUCCGCGCCGCAUUAGCUAGUUGGUAAGGUAACGGCUUACCAAGGCAACGAUGCGUAGCCGACCUGAGAGGGUGAUCGGCAACACUGGAGCUGAGACACGGUCCAGACUCCUACGGGAGGCAGCAGUAGGGAAUCUUACGCAAUGGGCGAAAGCCUGACGGAUCAACGCCGCGUGAGUGAUGAAGGUCUUCGGAUCGUAAAACUCUGUUAUUAGGGAAGAACAAAUGUGUAAGUAACUAUGCACGUCUUGACGGUACCUAAUCAGAAAGCCACGGCUAACUACGUG
rnacentral:rRNA from 1 species